rnacentral:rRNA from 1 species
GAUGAACGCUGGCGGCGUGCCUAAUACAUGCAAGUCGAGCGAACAGACGAGGAGCUUGCUCCUCUGAUGUUAGCGGCGGACGGGUGAGUAACACGUGGAUAACCUACCUAUAAGACUGGGAUAACUUCGGGAAACCGGAGCUAAUACCGGAUAACAUGUUGAACCGCAUGGUUCAACAGUGAAAGACGGUCUUGCUGUCACUUAUAGAUGGAUCCGCGCCGCAUUAGCUAGUUGGUAAGGUAACGGCUUACCAAGGCAACGAUGCGUAGCCGACCUGAGAGGGUGAUCGGCCACACUGGAACUGAGACACGGUCCAGACUCCUACGGGAGGCAGCAGUAGGGAAUCUUCCGCAAGGGGCGAAAGCCUGACGGAGCAACGCCGCGUGAGUGAAGAAGGGCUGCGGAUCGUAAAACUCUGUUAUUAGGGAAGAACAAAUGUGUAAGUAACUAUGCACGUCUUGACGGUACCUAAUCAGAAAGCCACGGCUAACUACGU